CUUGAUUUUCUUUUGUUUUUUUUCUUCCUGCUGAAUUUCUUCAGAAAAUUGAUAACACCAAGCACUUGUUUCCAUAUAUCAAUCAUAGGAACUUUAGUCUCCAAUUUCUUGAAGCUCUCCAUAAAGCACUUAAACUCCUUUUCCCUCCUAUGAUUUUUCUUUUGAUGAGGAAGGGGUUUUUCAUACGAUCUUUCCUUCUUUUUUCUCUUCCUCUUUUUCUCAAUAUUUUCCUCCCUCAACUUUCUCUCUUUUUUUUCCUUGAUUUCUUCUUUUUUAUUUUCGCACUUUUUUUCUUUUUUUCUUUUCUCUCAACCACUUCUUUUCGUUUCUCCUCAUCUUUCU
rnacentral:lncRNA from 1 species